CAGCAGCCGCGGGAAUACGUAGGGUGCGAGCGUUGUCCGGAAUUAUUGGGCGUAAAGAGCUUGUAGGCGGUCUGUCGCGUCUGCUGUGAAAACCCGAGGCUCAACCUCGGGCCUGCAGUGGGUACGGGCAGACUAGAGUGCGGUAGGGGAGAACGGAACUCCUGGUGUAGCGGUGGAAUGCGCAGAUAUCAGGAAGAACACCGAUGGCGAAGGCAGUUCUCUGGGCCGUAACUGACGCUGAGAAGCGAAAGCGUGGGGAGCGAACAGGAUUAGAUACCCCCGUAGUCCCUGUCUCUUAUAC
rnacentral:rRNA from 1 species